AGGACGAACGCUGGCGGCGUGCUUAACACAUGCAAGUCGAGCGGUAAGGCUCCUUCGGGAGUACACGAGCGGCGAACGGGUGAGUAACACGUGAGCAAUCUGCCCUUCACACAGGGAUAACUCCGGGAAACCGGUGCUAAUACCUGAUACGACCACUUCAGGCAUCUGAUGGUGGUGGAAAGUUCCGGCGGUGAAGGAUGAGCUCGCGGCCUAUCAGCUUGUUGGUGGGGUAAUGGCCCACCAAGGCAACGACGGGUAGCCGGCCUGAGAGGGUGACCGGCCACACUGGGACUGAGACACGGCCCAGACUCCUACGGGAGGCAGCAGUGGGGGAAUAUUGGACAAUGGGCGAAAGCCUGAUCCAGCAACGCCGCGUGAGGAUGACGGCCUUCGGUUGUAAACCUCUUUCAGCAGGGACGAAGCGCAAGUGACGGUACCUGCAGAAGAAGCACCGGCCAACUACGUGCCAGCAGCCGC
rnacentral:rRNA from 1 species